GCCGGCGUAGCUCAGUUGGUAGAGCAACUGAUUCGUAAUCAGUAGGUCGGAGGUUCGACUCCUCUCGCCGGCUCCA
rnacentral:tRNA from 1 species